rnacentral:rRNA from 1 species
GCUAACUACGUGCCAGCAGCCGCGGUAAUACGUAGGGCGCAAGCGUUAUCCGGAAUUAUUGGGCGUAAAGAGCUCGUAGGCGGUUUGUCGCGUCUGCCGUGAAAGUCCGGGGCUCAACUCCGGAUCUGCGGUGGGUACGGGCAGACUAGAGUGAUGUAGGGGAGACUGGAAUUCCUGGUGUAGCGGUGAAAUGCGCAGAUAUCAGGAGGAACACCGAUGGCGAAGGCAGGUCUCUGGGCAUUAACUGACGCUGAGGAGCGAAAGCAUGGGGAGCGAACAGGAUUAGAUACCCUGGUAGUCCAUGCCGUAAACGUUGGGCACUAGGUGUGGGGGACAUUCCACGUUUUCCGCGCCGUAGCUAACGCAUUAAGUGCCCCGCCUGGGGAGUACGGCCGCAAGGCUAAAACUCAAAGGAAUUGACGGGGGCCCGCACAAGCGGCGGAGCAUGCGGAUUAAUUCGAUGCAACGCGAAGAACCUUACCAAGCUUGACAU